rnacentral:rRNA from 1 species
CUGUGGUAAUUCUAGAGCUAAUACAUGCCACCAAGCGCCGACCUUACGGAAGGCGUGCUUUUAUUAGGAACAAGACCAACCCGGUUCGUCCGGCUUCGUUGGUGAACUCUGGAUAACUUAGCAGAUCGCAUGGUCAUUGUACCGGCGACAGAUCCUUCAAACGUCUGCCCUAUCAACUUUCGAUGGUACGUUAUGCGCCUACCAUGGUCGUAACGGGUAACGGAGAAUCAGGGUUCGAUUCCGGAGAGGGAGCCUGAGAAAUGGCUACCACAUCCAAGGAAGGCAGCAGGCGCGCAAAUUACCCACUCUCGACACGGGGAGGUAGUGACGAAAAAUAACAAUACAGGACUCUUUCGAGGCCCUGUAAUUGGAAUGAGUACACUUUAAAUCCUUUAACGAGGAUCUACUGGAGGGCAAGUCUGGUGCCAGCAGCCGCGGUAAUUCCAGCUCCAGUAGCGUAUAUUAAUGCUGCUGCAGUUAAAAAGCUCGUAGUUGGAUCUAGGGCUCAGGCUAACGGUCCCUCGCAAGGGGUGCACUGUUAGAUCUAGCCUCCCUCGCGGUUUGCGCCCGGUUCUCUUAACUGAGUGCCGGGUGCGACCGGAACGUUUACUUUGAAAAAAUUGGAGUGUUCAAAGCAGGCGCAACAGCCUGAACAGCAGAGCAUGGAAUAAUGGAAUAGGACCUCGGUUCUAUUGCGUUGGUUUUCGGAGUCCGAGGUAAUGAUUGAGAGGGACUGACGGGGGCAUUCGUAUUGCGGUGUGAGAGGUGAAAUUCUUGGAUCGCCGCAAGACGACCGACAGCGAAAGCAUUUGCCAAGAAUGUCUUCAUUAAUCAAGAACGAAAGUUAGAGGUUCGAAGGCGAUCAGAUACCGCCCUAGUUCUAACCAUAAACUAUGCCGACCGGCGAUUCGCCGGCGUUACUCCAAUGACACGGCUAGCA